AGAGUUUGAUCCUGGCUCAGGACGAACGCUGGCGGCGUGCCUAACACAUGCAAGUCGAGCGGAGACAGUGAGUAGCUUGCUAUGAGCUGUUUUAGCGGCGGACGGGUGAGUAACGCGUGAGCAACCUUUCCCAGACAGGGGAAUAACACACCGAAAGGUGUACUAAUACCGCAUAAGACCACGGUUUCACAUGGAACUGAGGUAAAAGAUUUAUCGGUUUGGGGUGGGCUCGCGUCCGAUUAGGUAGUUGGUGAGGUAACGGCCCACCAAGCCGACGAUCGGUAGCCGACCUGAGAGGGUGAUCGGCCACAUUGGGACUGAGACACGGCCCAAACUCCUACGGGAGGCAGCAGUGGGGAAUAUUGGGCAAUGGGGGGAACCCUGACCCAGCAACGCCGCGUGGAGGAAGAAGGUUUUCGGAUCGUAAACUCCUGUCCUUGGAGACGAGUAGAAGACGGUAUCCAAGGAGGAAGCCCCGGCUAACUACGUGCCAGCAGCCGCGGUAAUACGUAGGGGGCAAGCGUUGUCCGGAAUAAUUGGGCGUAAAGGGCGCGUAGGCGGCUCGGUAAGUCUGGAGUGAAAGUCCUGCUUUUAAGGUGGGAAUUGCUUUGGAUACUGUCGGGCUUGAGUGCAGGAGAGGUUAGUGGAAUUCCCAGUGUAGCGGUGAAAUGCGUAGAGAUUGGGAGGAACACCAGUGGCGAAGGCGACUAACUGGACUGUAACUGACGCUGAGGCGCGAAAGUGUGGGGAGCAAACAGGAUUAGAUACCCUGGUAGUCCACACUGUAAACGAUGAAUGCUAGGUGUAGGGGGUAUCGACCCCUUCUGUGCCGCAGUCAACACAAUAAGCAUUCCGCCUGGGGAGUACGGCCGCAAGGUUGAAACUCAAAGGAAUUGACGGGGGCCCGCACAAGCAGCGGAGCAUGUGGUUUAAUUCGACGCAACGCGAAGAACCUUACCAGGUCUUGACAUCCACUUAAACUUACAGAGAUGUAAGGUGUGCUUGCACAAAGUGAGACAGGUGGUGCAUGGUUGUCGUCAGCUCGUGUCGUGAGAUGUUGGGUUAAGUCCCGCAACGAGCGCAACCCUUAU
rnacentral:rRNA from 1 species